ensembl:miRNA
UUUUUCAAGUCUUGGGGAACAUUCAACGCUGUCGGUGAGUUUGUGAGCCAGAGAAACCACCGAGUGCUGAGUGUACCCUUACGCUUGAGCUC